rnacentral:snRNA from 1 species
GUGCUCACUUAGGCAGCACAUAUACUAAAAUUGGAACAAUACUGAGAAGAUUAGCAUGGCCCCUGCACAAGGAUGACACGCAGCUUCGUGAAGGGUUCCAUAUAUAA